rnacentral:rRNA from 1 species
UACGUAGGGAGCAAGCGUUGUUCGGAUUUACUGGGCGUGAAGGGCGCGUAGGCGGCGCGUUAAGUCAGCUGUGAAAUCUCCGAGCUCAACUUGGAACGGCCAGCUGAUACUGAUGUGCUAGAGUGCAGAAGGGGCAAUCGGAAUUCUUGGUGUAGCGGUGAAAUGCGUAGAUAUCAAGAGGAACACCUGAGGUGAAGACGGGUUGCUGGGCUGACACUGACGCUGAGGCGCGAAAGCCAGGGGAGCAAACGGG